AUUCCAUUAUGAGGGAACUUCCGUAAUAAUUCUUUGUACCUUUCCCAUGCCUCAUACAAUGACUCAUCAUCCAUUUGUUGAAAGCAGUGAUCUUGUUCCUCAACUU
rfam:Gossypium raimondii chromosome 2, whole genome shotgun sequence.